rnacentral:rRNA from 1 species
CGCGUGGGCAACCUGCCCCGUACCGGGGGACAACCUCCCAAAAAGGCUGCUAAUACCGCAUAUUCCCGCGGGGCCGCAUGGCCCUGCGGGGAAAGCUCCGGCAGUACGGGAUGGGCCCGCUCCCGAUCAGCUUGUUGGCGGGGUAACGGCCCACCAAGGCUGCGAUCAGUAGCCGGCCUGAGAGGGCGGCCGGCCACAUUGGGACUGAGACACGGCCCAGACUCCUGCGGGAGGCAGCAUUCGGGGAUAUUGCACAAUGGGGGGAACCCUGAUGCAGCGACGCCGCGUGAACGAAGAAAUAUUUCGGUACCUAAAAUUCUAUCAGCAGGGAAGAAAAUGAAAAAACAUGACCAAGAAGCCCCGGCUAACGACGAGCCAGCAGCCGCGGUAAUACGUAGGGGGCGAGCGUUAUCCGGAUUCACUGGGCGUAAAGGGAGCGCAGGCGGCACGGCAAGUCCGGUGUGAAAGCCCGGGGCCCAACCCCGGGACUGCACUGGAAACUGCCGGGCUGGAGUGUCGGAGGGGCAGGCGGAAUUC